rnacentral:lncRNA from 1 species
CCCUAUCUUCAACAAUUAUUUCACAAGUUGUGUUCAUCAUCUCAAGAAUGCUUCAAUUAUUUUUAUUUUAUUUAUUUUUUUCAGAUGUUUUGCACUAGCCAUCCUCAACUCAAGGCUUUGAGGCUCAAGUGAGGUACAUAAUAUCCUUGGUAGGUUCAGGGCCAAUGUUUUAAGCAUACUUCUGAAUUAGCCACCCUCAACUUAAGUUUUGAAGCUUGGUUGAGUUGCACAAUAUCCACAAGGGACCACAACGUAAGAAGAGUUUUCACACUUUUCU